AUGGGCAGCUAAGGCACUGGGAAACCCUCUCCUUCUGAUCCAGGAUCUGGUACAGCUGCCAUGAUGAACAACAGCUCAAGAGGCUCUUCCCCUACCAGGAUGAUGGAUGAAGACAAGUAAACUGUUCUCCAAGAGCCUGAAGUCCCCUCAGUUCCCAGCAUUACAUCUUCAGCUGAGCAUCCAGUAGGAGUAAGUACAGAGAAGUGUGGUCCUAAC